rnacentral:rRNA from 1 species
AACGAACGCUGGCGGCAUGCCUAACACAUGCAAGUCGAACGAGACCUCCGGGUCUAGUGGCGCACGGGUGCGUAACGCGUGGGAACCUGCCCUUAGGUUCGGAAUAACUCCCCGAAAGGGGUGCUAAUACCGGAUAAUGUCUUCGGACCAAAGAUUUAUCGCCUUUGGAUGGGCCCGCGUUGGAUUAGCUAGUUGGUAGGGUAAAAGCCUACCAAGGCGACGAUCCAUAGCUGGUCUGGGAGGAUGAUCAGCCACACUGGGACUGAGACACGGCCCAGACUCCUACGGGAGGCAGCAGUGGGGAAUAUUGGACAAUGGGCGAAAGCCUGAUCCAGCAAUGCCGCGUAAGUGAUGAAGGCCUUAGGGUUGUAAAGCUCUUUUACCCGGGAUGAUAAUGACAGUACCGGGAGAAUAAGCUCCGGCUAACUCCGUG